rnacentral:rRNA from 1 species
AACGCUAGCUACAGGCUUAACACAUGCAAGUCGAGGGGCAGCAUGAACUUAGCUUGCUAAGUUUGAUGGCGACCGGCGCACGGGUGAGUAACACGUAUCCAACCUGCCGAUGACUCGGGGAUAGCCUUUCGAAAGAAAGAUUAAUACCCGAUGGCAUAAUUCUUCCGCAUGGUAGAAUUAUUAAAGAAUUUCGGUCAUCGAUGGGGAUGCGUUCCAUUAGGUUGUUGGCGGGGUAACGGCCCACCAAGCCUUCGAUGGAUAGGGGUUCUGAGAGGAAGGUCCCCCACAUUGGAACUGAGACACGGUCCAAACUCCUACGGGAGGCAGCAGUGAGGAAUAUUGGUCAAUGGACGAGAGUCUGAACCAGCCAAGUAGCGUGAAGGAUGACUGCCCUAUGGGUUGUAAACUUCUUUUAUACGGGAAUAAAGUGAGGCACGUGUGCCUUUUUGUAUGUACCGUAUGAAUAAGGAUCGGCUAACUCCGUGCCAGCAGCCGCGGUAAUACGGAGGAUCCGAGCGUUAUCCGGAUUUAUUGGGUUUAAAGGGAGCGUAGGCGGACGCUUAAGUCAGUUGUGAAAGUUUGCGGCUCAACCGUAAAAUUGCAGUUGAUACUGGGUGUCUUGAGUACAGUAGAGGCAGGCGGAAUUCGUGGUGUAGCGGUGAAAUGCUUAGAUAUCACGAAGAACUCCGAUUG